GUCGACGACCAUUCGGCUCAAGCUCAUCAACCGGCGCUCGAUCAAGCGCAGUUCCAUCCCAUCCAGAGCCUUUACGAGAAGAUUCUAUUAGAAAUCGGGAGAACCUGGUGGUCUCAAACCGAGAAAUUCGACAGUUGUUCGACACAAUCAAAGAACUGGGGGAUAUAGUAAAGCGGCAAAAUGCCAAACUAUACAGUUUGAGCGUGGAACUGGAAAACGCUUGUAAAGAAGUGGCUGAGGUGAAGACCGAACUACAGACUGUACGACACAAGCUCGAUCGCCAUCCUCAGUCGACUGAGAAGGAGAAUAUCCUUCGUGGGCCUGUUCCAAAGCAACUAAAGCAUUGAUACUGCCCACAACAGUGCUGUUAAAGGAUUUCUUUGUAAGGAACUGGAAAAGGAAAACAAUGACUAUGAAAAGUCAACUAUCAAGUGUGCUGUGUCAAGAUAUUAUGAAAUAAAAAGACAACAAUACCUUGACAAUCCACCUGACAGAAGAAAUAAAGCAGAGAAGACUGCUCAGCAAUAAAUUGAUGCAAAUUUCAUGAGUGGCAAGGAGAAUGGUGAGGGCAGUCAAGAGGAUGUGUGGGUUGUGAGGUCACCACUGUGGCGUAGUCCACAGCUAUCUCCUCUCUUGACAAACAGCCAUCUUCCUCCUGAAGCUCACAUCCAUAAAAUACAAGAGUAGAAGGAGAGCCAUCCACACACAGUCUACCAACUUCCUCACCUGCAUGGGUGCUCCUUCCUGAGAGGUCUCCUUCUCAAAAUAGGAUUCCUCCCUCCCCACCGUCCCCACAACAUUGCAGUGGUGAUGAAAGCGAUGGGGAACCCUUGCAUAUGUUGGACACCAGCCCUGUCACAAUCCGGAGGAGGCCAAACAGACGGCUACAGUCACUGUGGGACUAAAUUAAUGCCUAAGUGUUCUUUAUUUACAUAACUUGUAUGUUUUGCCUUCUGUUUUUAAUUCAGUUCAUUUGACAGAAUGGCAAGGUGGUUUAUGGGUAUUAGGGUGAAUGGUUCCUUUUUAACCCUAACUCACGAAAUGUUUUUUUUUUUUGCAUAUUGCAUUAUCUGGAUUCACAAAUUGAAAAAUUAACAAAUGAUGCCACUUUCUCUCUCUCUCAUCUUGAUUGGAACAUAAUCUGGCAGCUAUUGCAAACAGUUCAAAAAUCUGUGGGAAGAAACCUUAAAUAACAUAGAAUUGCGUCUUUAAUUUUGUUGGCAACAAUUAAUAUCAAAACGAGGCUGCGCAUUACCUAACCCAGUCUGCAGUGUGAACGGUUCUUGAGCAACACAUGUUUUAUAAAACCAUGUUUAAAAAAACCACGUUUAAUGAAACUUGUUUAAAUUGGUGUGAACAGGGCAUUAGUUGUUAGUCAUCACAUGAUGGAAUAGAUUCUGUAAAUUG